AGUAGCGUGAAGGAUGACUGCCCUAUGGGUUGUAAACUUCUUUUAUAUGGGAAUAAAAUGUUCCACGUGUGGGAUUUUGUAUGUACCAUAUGAAUAAGGAUCGGCUAACUCCGUGCCAGCAGCCGCGGUAAUACGGAGGAUCCGAGCGUUAUCCGGAUUUAUUGGGUUUAAAGGGAGCGUAGGUGGAUUGUUAAGUCAGUUGUGAAAGUUUGCGGCUCAACCGUAAAAUUGCAGUUGAAACUGGCAGUCUUGAGUACAGUAGAGGUGGGCGGAAUUCGUGGUGUAGCGGUGAAAUGCUUAGAUAUCACGAAGAACUCCGAUUGCGAAGGCAGCUCACUGGACUGCAACUGACACUGAGGCUCGAAAGUGUGGGUAUCAAACAGGAUUAGAUACCCUGGUAGUCCACACAGUAAACGAUGAAUACUCGCUGUUUGCGAUAUACAGUAA
rnacentral:rRNA from 1 species